rnacentral:rRNA from 1 species
AACGAACGCUGGCGGCAGGCUUAACACAUGCAAGUCGAGCGCCCCGCAAGGGGAGCGGCAGACGGGUGAGCAACGCGUGGGAAUCUACCCAUCUCUACGGAAUAACGCAUGGAAACGUGUGCUAAUACCGUAUACGUCCCUCGGGAGAAAGAUUUAUCGGAGAUGGAUGAGCCCGCGUUGGAUUAGCUAGUUGGUGGGGUAAAGGCCUACCAAGGCGACGAUCCAUAGCUGGUCUGAGAGGAUGAUCAGCCACACUGGGACUGAGACACGGCCCAGACUCCUACGGGAGGCAGCAGUGGGGAAUAUUGGACAAUGGGCGCAAGCCUGAUCCAGCCAUGCCGCGUGAGUGAUGAAGGCCCUAGGGUUGUAAAGCUCUUUCACCGGUGAAGAUAAUGUCGGUAACCGGAGAAGAAGCCCCGGCUAACUUCGUGCCAGCAGCCGCCGCCGUAA